GGCAAGCACUCAGUAUUUAAAACUCCUUAAAGAUGCUGCAAAAUUUCCAGCCACUUUCUUGCAUUAAAAUGCUGUAGGUCCUUACUAAAUAUAUGUUCAACUUGUUGUGCCCUUGAGAAAAUGCAUUUAUAAUCUGUAUAAUAUCCUCUAAUAUAUUAAAAUAUAUGGAUCUGAUAUUUAGAUAAGGGAUAUUUAGACACAUGCAAUGAGCUCCUAGCCUGAAGUUCAGGAUAAGGUUUGCUUUGCCUGAGGGUAGGUGCCUGGAAGUUGGGUGUUUGAGUCUGCUGAACUAGAAAUUCACUCUGCUACAGUCACUGGGGGAGGGAGGCACCAUGAGGAGACAUUUCUAGGUAACCACCCUAAGAGAGGUGUCCAGAGUACAAAGGAUAACCCAAAAGUCGAGGUGCCUGCUUCCUUCCACUGCCUGUUGGAAGAGCACAGAGGAGUGGUUUCAUGCAGCUGAGAUUGCUGAAAAAUGCCCACAGCAUGGCUACCUGAAGAAUUCUGAACAGAGGAGGAAUGAAUCAGAGAAUCAAAGAAUAGUGGCUGCCCUGGAUGCCUGAACAGCCUUGGCCUUUCUAUUCCAUUGUUGCUUGAAACUGGACACACAAGCACUAUGAAAAAAGGUCUUAUUUUCUCCAUCUGGAAGCUGAAGAUAAUACUACCUAAACUAGAGGGAUAUUGUGAGCAUUCCUUGUUAUAGUAGUUCAUUUCUAAAUAAUCUCAUUGUAUUAAAAUUGUUAAAACCGUUUAAAAACUAGUGUUUUAUUAAAGUUUAGUGGUGAAUAUUUACAUAUUCAGCUUCUACUGUUAGAACACCAAUAUUUGUUUUAUUUUAUUGCAUUUUUAGCUGGUUAAUAAGAUUUCUUAAUUUAGAGUUGCAUCUCUCUAAUGACCUUCGCUGGAUGCUAAAUUUUAGAUUACAUUUACAUAUGUGACACUCCUAUUUUGUUAAGUAGGAGACAUAUUAUGGGGAUAAUCAGUUUAUCUUAAGCUGUAAUUCUAUGUCUAGCAAGGAUUCAAAUUUCUAGGAUGUAUAAUGGGUUAGUGAAAUCUGGUAAAGCAUCUUUGAGAUAAAUCCCAGCAUAUGAGAUCAGUUAGAUCUAGCUGUAAAAUGGAACAGAAGCUUAAUUUUAAUUUUCAUUUGCACAGCUUGGUGCUUUACUUUUUUUCUUUUACAACUUGACAGAGCUCUAUCUGAAAUUUAAAAAAUGCAGGAACUGGAUGAAUCUUUUGAAUAUGCAUUAACUAAAGGGGAGAAACAAAACUAAAGAAAAGAUGUAGCUAGUUUCAUGUAAGGUUAGAUUUUCUAUUCCAUGGAAAUUAAUUUGACUCCAAUGUAAAUCCUCUGGUGAAAUGAUGUGCAUGCUUUGCAGCUACAAGAUCCUUCUUACACAGGCUAUGUGGGCACUAAAAUAGUACAGGCACCAAAGCAACAGUAACAAUUUCAG
rnacentral:lncRNA from 1 species